AAAACAGUGUUACCCCUUAUGGUUUUUUUCAUGAUGACCAAUAAAAAAUGACAGUGUUACCCCUUAUAUUUUUUUUCAUGAAGACCAAUAAAAAAACGACGGUGUUACCCCUUGUGUUUUUUUUAAAAAAACAACAGUGUUACCUUAUGUUUUUUUUCAUGACGACCAAUAAAAAACAGUGUUACCCCUCAUGGUUUUUUUCAUGACGACCAAUAAAAAAUGACAGUGUUACCCCUUAUGUUUUUUUUCAUGACGACCAAUAAAAAACAACAUGUUACCCCUUAUGUUUUUUUUCAUUACGACCAAUAAAAAAACGACAGUGUUACCUUAUGUUUUUUUUCAUGACGACCAAUAAAAAACAGUGUUACCCCUUAUGGUUUUUUUCAUGACGACCAAUAAAAAACGACAGUGUUACCCCUUAUGUUUUUUUUCAUGACGACCAAUAAAAAACAACAUGUUACCCCUUAUGUUUUUUUUCAUGACGACCAAUAAAAACAGU
ensembl:lncRNA